CUCUGGGCCCGUAACCGGACGCUGAGGACGCGAAAGGUGGGGAGCAAACAGGCUUUAGAUACCUGGUAGUCCACCCCGUAAACGUUGGGAACUAGUUGUGGGGACCAUUCCACGGUUUCCGUGACGCAGCUAACGCAUUAAGUUCCCCGCCUGGGGAGUACGGCCGCAAGGCUAAAACUCAAAGGAAUGGACGGGGACCCGCACAAGCGGCGGAGCAUGCGGAUUAAUUCGAUGCAACGCGAAGAACCUUACCAAGGCUUGACAUACACCAGAACACCGUAGAAAUACGGGACUCUUUGGACACUGGUGAACAGGUGGUGCAUGGUGUCGUCAGCUCGUGUCGUGAGAUGUUGGGUUAAGUCCCGCAACGAGCGCAACCCUCGUUCUAUGUUGCCAGCACGUAAUGGUGGGAACUCAUGGGAUACUGCCGGGGUCAACUCCGGAGGAAGGUGGGGAUGACGUCAAAUCAUCAUGCCCCUUAUGUCUUGGGCUUCACGCAUGCUUAACCAAUUGGGCCCGGAACAAAGGGCUGCAAUACCCGUGAGGUGGAGCGAAUCCCAAAAAGCCGGUCCCAGUUCGGAUUGAGGUCUGCAACUCGACCUCAUGAAGUCGGAGUCGCUAGUAAUCGCAGAUCAGCAACGCUGCGGUGAAUACGUUCCCGGGUCUUGUACACACCGCCCGUCAAGUCAUGAAAGUCGGU
rnacentral:rRNA from 1 species